GGUAUACCAUUUUUUUAGAGCUCCUUCGCACGCACAAAGCUGAAUGUGGAACUAAGCAACUAGGGUUUUAGGGGAAGAUUUUCUCUGGUUCGCAUCAUAGAACACCACCACCACUUUCUAUCUGCAAUCCCAAGAGACAAAGAGAAUCAAAAUUUAGCCUUUUGGUGUCACUGUGAUCCUUCUGCAGUUAGGCUUUAUUUUUCCAAAGAUCAAUGGAGGAGCAAUUGCCAUCAUCUGUACAUGCCAUAGUUUUCAAAGAGUCUGAACACCUUGAAGGGAAAUGCAUUAAAAUUGAAGGUUAUGAUUUUAAUGAAGGAGUUAACUACUCUCAGCUUCUCAAAUCCAUGGUCUCCACUGGGUUUCAAGCAUCCAACCUUGGUGACGCCAUUGCAGUUGUGAACCACAUGCUAGACUGGAGGCUUGCUGAUGAGGAUAUAACAGAAGAUUGCAAUGAGGAGGAAAGGGACCCUGCUUAUAGAGAGUCUGUGAAAUGCAAAGUGUUCUUGGGUUUUACCUCAAAUCUUGUUUCUUCUGGUGUUAGAGAUAUAAUUCGCUAUCUUGUUCAGCAUCAUAUGGUUGAUGUAGUGGUUACAACUGCUGGUGGCAUAGAAGAAGAUCUUAUAAAAUGCCUUGCACCCACAUACAAAGGUGACUUUUAUCUACCUGGAGCUCAUUUGCGUUCAAAGGGAUUGAACCGCAUUGGUAACUUGUUGGUUCCAAAUGACAACUAUUGCAAAUUUGAGGACUGGAUCAUUCCAAUUUUUGACCAGAUGUUGAAGGAACAAAUUGAAGAGAAUGUUUCGUGGACACCAUCUAAAGUAAUUGGUCGAUUGGGGAAAGAAAUAAAUAAUGAGAGUUCAUACCUUUAUUGGGCAUACAAGAACAACAUUCCAGUAUUUUGUCCAGGUUUAACAGAUGGUUCUUUGGGGGACAUGUUGUACUUUCACUCCUUUCGCAGCCCAGGUCUAAUUGUUGACAUUGUUCAAGACAUCAGGGCUAUGAAUGGUGAAGCUGUCCAUGCAAGUCCUAGGAAGACUGGAAUCAUCGUUCUUGGAGGGGGGCUUCCUAAGCAUCACAUAUGCAACGCCAAUAUGAUGCGUAAUGGUGCAGAUUAUGCUGUUUUUAUCAAUACCGCACAAGAAUUUGAUGGGAGUGAUUCUGGAGCUCGUCCUGAUGAGGCUGUAUCAUGGGGAAAAAUUCGAGGAUCUGCUAAAACUGUCAAAGUGCAUUGUGAUGCAACUAUUGCUUUUCCCCUACUGGUUGCUGAAACAUUUGCUUCAAAGAGAAAUACAUCUGUCAAGACCAAGGUAAACAACUUUUAACCAGUCCUGGUGGUGAUUUAAUUGAGAUCCAUUAGUGAUUUGAAUUAUUUUGGGGGAACCACUUAUAAUUUAGAUAUCUAACACAAGACAGAAUGUAAUGCUCUCACAACACCUCUGUAGAAGAUAGGAUUUU
rnacentral:misc_RNA from 1 species